CUAUGCGCCUUGCCAGCCCGCUCAGUCAGAGUUUGAUCCUGGCUCAGGGUGAACGCUGGCGGCGCGCCUAAUGCAUGCAAGUCGAGCGUGCCCUGGUGGCUUCGGCCAUCAGGGAAAGCGGCAGACGGCUGAGUAACGCGUGAGUAACCUACCCUCUGGUGGGGUAUAGCCGCGAGAAAUCGCGGUUAAUCCCGCAUAAGAUCUCCAGGCCUUGGUUUGGAGAUGAAAGCCUUCGGGCGCCGGAGGAGGGGCUCGCGUCCUAUCAGGUAGUUGGUGAGUAACGGCCACCAAGCCGAUGACGGGUAGCUGGUCUUAGAGGACGACCAGCCAGAGGGGGACUGAGACACGGCCCCC
rnacentral:rRNA from 1 species